rnacentral:rRNA from 1 species
AGUGAACGCUGGCGGUAGGCCUAACACAUUCAAGUCGAACGGCAGCACAGGAGAGCUUGCUCUCUGGGUGGCGAGUGGCGGACGGGUGAGGAAUACAUCGGAAUCUACUCUGUCGUGGGGGAUAACGUAGGGAAACUUACGCUAAUACCGCAUACGACCUACGGGUGAAAGCAGGGGAUCUUCGGACCUUGCGCGAUUGAAUGAGCCGAUGUCGGAUUAGCUAGUUGGCGGGGUAAAGGCCCACCAAGGCGACGAUCCGUAGCUGGUCUGAGAGGAUGAUCAGCCACACUGGAACUGAGACACGGUCCAGACUCCUACGGGAGGCAGCAGUGGGGAAUAUUGGACAAGGGGCGCAAGCCUGAUCCAGCCAUACCGCGUGGGUGAAGAAGGCCUUCGGGUUGUAAAGCCCUUUUGUUGGGAAAGAAAUCAAGCUGGCUAAUACCCGGUUGGGAUGACGGUACCCAAAGAAUAAGCACCGGCUAACUUCGUGCCAGCAGCCGCCGCCG